rnacentral:rRNA from 1 species
UACGAAGGGGGCUAGCGUUGCUCGGAAUUACUGGGCGUAAAGGGAGCGUAGGCGGACAUUUAAGUCAGAGGUGAAAUCCCGGAGCUUAACUUCGGAACUGCCUUUGAUACUGGGUGUCUUGAGUGUGAGAGAGGUAUGUGGAACUCCGAGUGUAGAGGUGAAAUUCGUAGAUAUUCGGAAGAAACACCAGUGGCGAGGCGACAUACUGGCUCAUUACUGACGCUGGAGGCUACGAAAGCCGUGGGGAGCAAACAGG